UACGGGGGGUGCGAGCGUUGUCCGGAAUCACUGGGCGUAAAGGGCGCGUAGGUGGCCUUGUAAGUCGAUGGUGAAAGCCCGGGGCUCAACCCCGGGUCUGCCGUCGAUACUGUGAGGCUUGAGUGUUGUAGAGGCUGGUAGAAUGUCUGGUGUAGCGGUGGAAUGCGUAGAGAUCAGACAGAAGACCGGUGGCGAAGGCGGCCAGCUGGGCAAUAACUGACACUGAGGCGCGACAGCGUGGGGAGCAAAC
rnacentral:rRNA from 1 species